AUUGAACGCUGGCGGCAUGCCUUACACAUGCAAGUCGGACGGCAGCACGGGAGCAAUCCUGGUGGCGAGUGGCGAACGGGUGAGUAAUAUAUCGGAACGUGCCCAGUAGUGGGGGAUAGCCCGGCGAAAGCCGGAUUAAUACCGCAUACGACCUGUGGGUGAAAGCGGGGGAUCGCAAGACCUCGCGCUAUUGGAGCGGCCGAUAUCAGAUUAGCUAGUUGGUGGGGUAAAGGCCUACCAAGGCGACGAUCUGUAGCUGGUCUGAGAGGACGACCAGCCACACUGGGACUGAGACACGGCCCAGACUCCUACGGGAGGCAGCAGUGGGGAAUUUUGGACAAUGGGCGAAGGCCUGAUGGAGCAACGCCGCGUGCAGGAUGAAGGCUUUCGGGUCGUAAACUGCUUUUAUAGGUGAAGAUUAUGACGGUAACCUAUGAAUAAGGAUCGGCUAAUUACGUGCCAGCAGCCGCGGUAAU
rnacentral:rRNA from 1 species